rnacentral:rRNA from 1 species
GACGAACGCUGGCGGCGUGCUUAAUACAUGCAAGUCGAGCGAUGAACCCAGCUGAUUACCUUCGGGUAUGAAGUUGGGGGAAGAGCGGCGGAUGGGUGAGUAACGCGUGGGUACCUGCCCUAAAGUUUGGGAUAACAACCCGAAAGGGUUGCUAAUACCGAAUGUGACCGAGAGGUUAAAGGUGUAAACCGCUUUAGGAUGGGCCCGCGUCCCAUUAGCUAGUUGGUGGGGUAAUGGCCUACCAAGGCUGCGAUGGGUAGCCGGCCUGAGAGGGUGGACGGCCACACUGGGACUGAGACACGGCCCAGACUCCUACGGGAGGCAGCAGUAGGGAAUUUUCCGCAAUGGACGGAAGUCUGACGGAGCGACGCCGCGUGGGGGAAGAAGGCCUUCGGGUUGUAAACCUCUGUCUUCAGGGACGAAGAGGGUGUGGGAGGACACACCGAAGCCGGUACCUGAGGAGGAAGCCCCGGCUAACUACGUG